CUUUAUUGGAGAGUUUGAUCCUGGCUCAGGAUGAACGCUGGCGGCGUGCCUAAUACAUGCAAGUCGAGCGAAUGG
rnacentral:rRNA from 1 species